rfam:Enterococcus hirae ATCC 9790, complete genome.
UUUUAUGAGAGUUUGAUCCUGGCUCAGGACGAACGCUGGCGGCGUGCCUAAUACAUGCAAGUCGAACGCUUCUUUUUCCACCGGAGCUUGCUCCACCGGAAAAAGAGGAGUGGCGAACGGGUGAGUAACACGUGGGUAACCUGCCCAUCAGAAGGGGAUAACACUUGGAAACAGGUGCUAAUACCGUAUAACAAUCGAAACCGCAUGGUUUCGAUUUGAAAGGCGCUUUCGGGUGUCGCUGAUGGAUGGACCCGCGGUGCAUUAGCUAGUUGGUGAGGUAACGGCUCACCAAGGCGACGAUGCAUAGCCGACCUGAGAGGGUGAUCGGCCACAUUGGGACUGAGACACGGCCCAAACUCCUACGGGAGGCAGCAGUAGGGAAUCUUCGGCAAUGGACGAAAGUCUGACCGAGCAACGCCGCGUGAGUGAAGAAGGUUUUCGGAUCGUAAAACUCUGUUGUUAGAGAAGAACAAGGAUGAGAGUAACUGUUCAUCCCUUGACGGUAUCUAACCAGAAAGCCACGGCUAACUACGUGCCAGCAGCCGCGGUAAUACGUAGGUGGCAAGCGUUGUCCGGAUUUAUUGGGCGUAAAGCGAGCGCAGGCGGUUUCUUAAGUCUGAUGUGAAAGCCCCCGGCUCAACCGGGGAGGUCAUUGGAAACUGGGAGACUUGAGUGCAGAAGAGGAGAGUGGAAUUCCAUGUGUAGCGGUGAAAUGCGUAGAUAUAUGGAGGAACACCAGUGGCGAAGGCGGCUCUCUGGGUCUGUAACUGACGCUGAGGCUCGAAAGCGUGGGAGCMAACAGGAUUAGAUACCCUGGUAGUCCACGCCGUAAACGAUGAGUGCUAAGUGUUGGAGGGUUUCCGCCCUUCAGUGCUGCAGCUAACGCAUUAAGCACUCCGCCUGGGGAGUACGACCGCAAGGUUGAAACUCAAAGGAAUUGACGGGGGCCCGCACAAGCGGUGGAGCAUGUGGUUUAAUUCGAAGCAACGCGAAGAACCUUACCAGGUCUUGACAUCCUUUGACCACUCUAGAGAUAGAGCUUCCCCUUCGGGGGCAAAGUGACAGGUGGUGCAUGGUUGUCGUCAGCUCGUGUCGUGAGAUGUUGGGUUAAGUCCCGCAACGAGCGCAACCCUUAUUGUUAGUUGCCAUCAUUUAGUUGGGCACUCUAGCAAGACUGCCGGUGACAAACCGGAGGAAGGUGGGGAUGACGUCAAAUCAUCAUGCCCCUUAUGACCUGGGCUACACACGUGCUACAAUGGGAAGUACAACGAGUCGCAAAGUCGCGAGGCUAAGCUAAUCUCUUAAAGCUUCUCUCAGUUCGGAUUGUAGGCUGCAACUCGCCUACAUGAAGCCGGAAUCGCUAGUAAUCGCGGAUCAGCACGCCGCGGUGAAUACGUUCCCGGGCCUUGUACACACCGCCCGUCACACCACGAGAGUUUGUAACACCCGAAGUCGGUGAGGUAACCUUUUGGAGCCAGCCGCCUAAGGUGGGAUAGAUGAUUGGGGUGAAGUCGUAACAAGGUAGCCGUAUCGGAAGGUGCGGCUGGAUCACCUCCUUU